AACAAGCCAGUACGGCUAGCUCCUAUUGAAUCCUCCAGGUCUGGAAAGAAGCAAAGGUAAAAUGGUUGCAGCAGCGCGAUACUUGGCUUGUUUUU
rnacentral:SRP_RNA from 1 species